rnacentral:rRNA from 1 species
GCUCCAAUAGCGUAUAUUAAAGUUGUUGCAGUUAAAAAGCUCGUAGUUGGAUUUCUAGAUAAGUGGCUACUAUGUAGUUUGCUUGUCUACCAGUCUUAGACUGUUACUGUGAGAAAAUUAGAGUGUUUAAAGCAGGCUAUUGCAAGAAUACAUUAGCAUGGAAUACGAAUGUGUCUAGAAUAUUGGUUAAUUCUAGAUUA